rnacentral:rRNA from 1 species
UACGAAGGGGGCUAGCGUUGCUCGGAAUCACUGGGCGUAAAGCGUCUGUAGGUGGCUUUUUAAGUCCGCCGUCAAAUCCCAGGGCUCAACUCUGGACAGGCGGUGGAAACUACCAAGCUCGAGUACGGUAGGGGCAGAGGGAAUUUCCGGUGGAGCGGUGAAAUGCGUAGAGAUCGGAAAGAACACCAACGGCGAAAGCACUCUGCUGGGCCGACACUGACACUGAGAGACGAAAGCUAGGGGAGCGAAUGGG